GCCACCGUAGCUCAGCCGGUUAGAGCGGCAGUUUCGUAAACUGCAGGUCCGGGGUUCGAAUCCCUGCGGUGGCU
rfam:Euryarchaeota archaeon RBG_16_68_13 RBG_16_scaffold_2234, whole genome shotgun sequence.